rnacentral:rRNA from 1 species
AAUAGACUAGGUGAUUGACGUUAACUACAGAAGAAGCACCGGCUAACUCCGUGCCAGCAGCCGCGGUAAUACGGAGGGUGCGAGCGUUAAUCGGAAUAACUGGGCGUAAAGGGCACGCAGGCGGUGACUUAAGUGAGGUGUGAAAGACCCCGGGCUUAACCUGGGAAUUGCAUUUCAUACUGGGUCGCUAGAGUACUUUAGGGAGGGGUAGGAAUUCCACGUGUAGCGGUGAAAUGCGUAGAGAUGUGGAGGAAUACCGAAGGCGAAGGCAGCCCCUUCGGGAAUGUACUGACGCUCAUGUGCGAAAGCGUGGGGAGCAAACAGGAUUAGAUACCCUGGUAG